rnacentral:lncRNA from 1 species
GCUGGGCAUCAUGUGCUGUAGCUAUGCCCCUAUGAUGCUUUUCGAUUGGCGUCAUGUUGUAUCAGUUCAGAGAGAGAUUUUCUACUUCUAGUUAUAGGUAAAAUAAAUUAUAAUGUGAAUAUUUAAUUAGUAUGGUAUUCUUCUAAUAUUUGUUAUUGAUAGGAUGUAUUUGAUAUUAUUAAUUUUGAGGAGGACUGCGUUCAGUG